rnacentral:rRNA from 1 species
UACGUAGGGGGCUAGCGUUGUCCGGAAUCAUUGGGCGUAAAGAGCGUGUAGGCGGCCCGGUAAGUCCGCUGUGAAAGUCGGGGGCUCAACCCUCGAAUGCCGGUGGAUACUGUCGGGCUAGAGUGCGGAAGAGGCGAGUGGAAUUCCCAGUGUAGCAGUGAAAUGCGUAGAGAUCGGGAGGAACAUCUGUGGCGAAGGCGGCCACCUGGACCAGCACUGACACUGAGGCACGAAAGCGUGGGGAGCAAACAGG